CCUGGCCGGAUCUACCUUUUUUAAGUGACUCAAGGUAAGGACUUCUGCACAAACACCCCUGGAAACACAUUCCUUGUGGUAACCUGAAACCUCCCAUUUGGGCAAGAUUCUGAUUGAUUUCAGCAGAACAAAGAGACAGUUGCAUCUCAUUUGAAACCCAGAUGAGGAGCUCCAUAUUUCAUUUUAAAUUGGGAGUGAUAAUGGUUGGGUGGUCAAUACUUCAAGAGAAGCGGGAAAAAAGCCCAACAAUAUUGAGUAGUGCUAGUGUACAGUGGCUAUUUUUCUGGGCUGGAACUGGUUAACUAAGAAUUGAAAAGUCACCCUCUGGUAGCCUGAACAGGAACCUGCAGUCUGCAAACACUUAUUCCCAUCAACACUGCUCCAAGGAGGUGCCGAAACGCUGGGUGCCUCAUUCUGAUCUUGCGUCUGUCCUGGUAUGAAUUAACAGAGGGGAACAGGAAGUGGAUCGACACUGUUCAUAAGUAAGGAGGCCGAGCAGGAGUGGGGGGUCCUUCUGCUUUCAAUCAAGAGAGAGGGCACA
rnacentral:lncRNA from 10 species